rnacentral:rRNA from 1 species
ACGGGGGCCCGCACAAGCGUGGAGCAUGUGGUUUAAUUCGAUGAUACGCGAAGAACCUUACCGGGGUUUGACAUGCAGGUGAUCGCCGUUGAAAGACGGUUUCCUCUUCGGAGGCACCUGCACAGGUGCUGCAUGGCCGUCGUCAGCUCGUGUCGUGAGAUGUUGGGUUAAGUCCCGCAACGAGCGCAACCCUUGUCACUAGUUGCCAUCAUUUGGUUGGGCACUCUAGUGAGACUGCCGGUGUCAAACCGGAGGAAGGUGGGGAUGACGUCAAGUCCUCAUGGCCUUUAUGACCAGGGCUACACACGUACUACAAUGGCCGGUACAAAGGGCAGCCACUUAGCGAUAAGGAGCCAAUCCCGUAAAGCCGGUCUCAGUCCGGAUUGGAGUCUGCAACUCGACUCCAUGAAGUUGGAAUCGCUAGUAAUCGCAGAUCAGCACGCUCGCGGUCGAAUACGUUCCGGGCCUU